GACGAACGCUGGCGGCGUGCCUAAUACAUGCAAGUAGAACGCUGAAGGAGGAGCUUGCUUCUCUGGAUGAGUUGCGAACGGGUGAGUAACGCGUAGGUAACCUGCCUGGUAGCGGGGGAUAACUAUUGGAAACGAUAGCUAAUACCGCAUAAGAGUAGAUGUUGCAUGACAUUUGCUUAAAAGGUGCAAUUGCAUCACUACCAGAUGGACCUGCGUUGUAUUAGCUAGUUGGUGGGGUAACGGCUCACCAAGGCGACGAUACAUAGCCGACCUGAGAGGGGGAUCGGCCACACUGGGACUGAGACACGGCCCAGACUCCUACGGGAGGCAGCAGUAGGGAAUCUUCGGCAAUGGACGGAAGUCUGACCGAGCAACGCCGCGUGAGUGAAGAAGGUUUUCGGAUCGUAAAGCUCGGUUGUAAGAGAAGAACGAGUGUGAGAGUGGAAAGUUCACACUGUGACGGUAUCUUACCAGAAAGGGACGGCUAACUACGUG
rnacentral:rRNA from 1 species